ensembl:snoRNA small nucleolar RNA, H/ACA box 50A
UAGCACUGCCUUUGAACCUGAUAUGUCUUGUUUGUAGCUUCUCGGGCCAAGCAACAGUGCUAGAGCAUAAGGACUUGUUAUAACUGGGGCUCUUCAGCUCUCGACUAAACUGCUCUUUUAAAAACAAGGUACAUUU